rnacentral:rRNA from 1 species
GACGAACGCUGGCGGCGUGCUUAACACAUGCAAGUCGAACGGAAAGGCCCUGCUUUUGUGGGGUGCUCGAGUGGCGAACGGGUGAGUAACACGUGAGUAACCUGCCCUUGACUUUGGGAUAACUUCAGGAAACUGGGGCUAAUACCGGAUAGGAGCUCCUGCUGCAUGGUGGGGGUUGGAAAGUUUCGGCGGUUGGGGAUGGACUCGCGGCUUAUCAGCUUGUUGGUGGGGUAGUGGCUUACCAAGGCUUUGACGGGUAGCCGGCCUGAGAGGGUGACCGGCCACAUUGGGACUGAGAUACGGACCAGACUCCUACGGGAGGCAGAAGUGGGGAAUAUUGCACAAUGGGCGGAAGCCUGAUGCAGCAACGCCGCGUGCGGGAUGACGGCCUUCGGGUUGUAAACCGCUUUCGCAUGUGACGAAGCGUGAGUGACGGUAAUGGGUAAAGAAGCACCGGCUAACUACGUG